GUGGUUAAAAUUGUUAAACAUGACUCAUAAUCCGUUGGUCCUAGGUUCAAGUCCUAGUGGGCCCACCA
rnacentral:tRNA from 1 species